CACAUGCAAGUCGAGCGGUAAGGCCCUUCGGGGUACACGAGCGGCGAACGGGUGAGUAACACGUGAGCAACCUGCCCCUGACUCUGGGAUAAGCGGUGGAAACGCCGUCUAAUACCGGAUACGACCCGCCACCUCAUGGUGGAGGGUGGAAAGUUUUUCGGUCAGGGAUGGGCUCGCGGCCUAUCAGCUUGUUGGUGGGGUAACGGCCUACCAAGGCGAUUACGGGUAGCCGGCCUGAGAGGGCGACCGGCCACACUGGGACUGAGACACGGCCCAGACUCCUGCGGGAGGCAGCAGUGGGGAAUAUUGCGCAAUGGGCGAAAGCCUGACGCAGCGACGCCGCGUGGGGGAUGACGGCCUUCGGGUUGUAAACCUCUUUUACCACCAACGCAGGCUCCCAGUUCUCUGGGGGUUGACGGUAGGUGGGGAAUAAGGACCGGCUAACUACGUGCCAGCAGCCGCGGUAAUACGUAGGGUCCGAGCGUUGUCCGGAAUUAUUGGGCGUAAAGAGCUCGUAGGCGGCGUGUCGCGUCUGCUGUGAAAGACCGGGGCUUAACUCCGGUUCUGCAGUGGAUACGGGCAUGCUAGAGGUAGGUAGGGGAGACUGGAAUUCCUGGUGUAGCGGUGAAAUGCGCAGAUAUCAGGAGGAACACCGGUGGCGAAGGCGGGUCUCUGGGCCUUACCUGACGCUGAGGAGCGAAAGCAUGGGGAGCGAACAGGAUUAGAUACCCUGGUAGUCCAUGCCGUAAACGUUGGGCGCUAGGUGUGGGGACUUUCCACGGUUUCCGCGCCGUAGCUAACGCAUUAAGCGCCCCGCCUGGGGAGUACGGCCGCAAGGCUAAAACUCAAAGGAAUUGACGGGGGCCCGCACAAGCGGCGGAGCAUGUUGCUUAAUUCGACGCAACGC
rnacentral:rRNA from 1 species